GUGAGGAAUAUUCCGCAAUGGGGGGAACCCUGACGGAGCAAUGCCGCGUGCAGGAUGAAGGCCCUCGGGUCGUAAACUGCUUUUAUUUGAGAAGAAUAUGACGGUAACAAAUGAAUAAGGGACGGCUACUACGUGCCAGCAGCCGCGGUCAUACGUAGGUCCCAAGCGUUAUCCGGAGUGACUGGGCGUAAAGAGUUGCGUAGGCGGCUCAUUAAGCAUUCAAUGAAAACUAUCGGCUCAACCGGUAGCCUAUUGAGUGAACUGAUGGGCUCGAGAGUAUCAGAGGUUACUGGAAUUUCUAGUGUAGCAGUGAAAUGCAUAGAUAUUAGAAAGAACACCAACGGCGUAGGCAGGUAACUGGGGUAUUUCUGACGCUAAGGCACGAAAGCGUGGGGAGCGAACCGGAUUAGAAACCCUUGUAGUCC
rnacentral:rRNA from 1 species